CUCUGACUACAGAUAGCGACUGUUAACAUAGCAAAGUCUACAGCAGGCUUUCUGCAGGCUCUUUUAUCCCAGGAAAUGCAUGCAGCAAACGGAGCUGAUGUCGCCUGUGUCUGAGAGCACUACAGGGAAGAGUUGUGCUGGGCUCGAGUCCCUCUGCAAACAGAGGAUAUAUAGAGACCAUCCCAGCACGAUCUAUAUGAUCCUCCCCUGAGACACUUUAAUGUCUGGAAUGAACUCUCCCAUCUUCUCUGGGAAAAAAAAAUUCGAACAAAACCACAUUCAGACAGCCAGGCAUAGACGCACAAAACACGAACAAUGAGUGCUCAGAGACAACCACCAGCGUGCUCACAGAGGCAUGCUUACAGAGAGACACGGUGACGUAAAGCAACACCCAGAAGCAUUUAAUAAAUUACCCAGAUAUAUACACAGAGGGACAGACAGAUGGGUUGAGGCUGCAUUUGCACUGGUGGAUGAAUGAAAACAUCGCUUUAAUGCCCACAGCAGAGUGUUUGGGGAAAGCAGUGGCAGUAGCAGCACCAGAUAUUACAGGCAAUAAUAUCUCUUGAUUCACUCUUUCAGACUAAUUGGCUUAUCCUAGGAAGGGCAGCUACGGCUGCAUAGCAAGUGUGAACUCAUACACUUUCAUCAUCAAAGUCAGAGCGAGAACAGCGCAGCGGUCUUUCCAGAAACCAUCCCCUGUUCCCAGGCAAGGAAUGGUUCCUGGAACUUACAUCCCUAAACUCACUCUUUUGAUUGCUCUGGGCAGUCCUGUCUUCAAAAGCAAACAGAAUUCGCGGCAUACAGUCAUGGGAAGACUUAUUCCCAGACCCUGGCUACACAGCUCCUAAUGUAUUAACUAUGUUCUCUCGAAUGCCCAUGCGUGGGGCAUUAGGAAAUAUUGCAGUUUAUUAACACUUGGUACUUGGUUCCACUCUCCCCCCAUCACAUAUUCAUUAAGACUGGGAAAGUCCAAUAUUUUCUUUAAUUCUUAUUUCACUGUUAAAAUUUGGCUAGUGUUAAGUACUACAAUAAUCUUCUUUGCUCUUGACUACAGGACAAAGGAGGCCAAGCCCCAGCUGUCUGUCCUCACAGACAAGACCUGGUACACUGAGAAUGCCUCUGUUCUGCUACCGCUGCUAAUGAUAACCUAGCCCAACUCGAUGCUGCUGCCCACAGUUACUGUUCUCAGGCUGCUGCAGCUCCUCCCUUCCCUGCCAUCAGCUGUGUGGAUGUGGUAAACAAAUGUAAAUUGAUAUCUACAGGGGUGUAAUUUGCUGAUGGAGCUAACCAAUCCACAAGUUGUUUUCCUGUAGCACCUGUACCAUCUCUAAUACUCUCGAAGUCUUGCUAAAGGCUUCAAGAGCUAAUAAUCGAAGAGUGGUGUUUCCUUACAAUGUCUUGUUCUGCAUUUGUACCUUAAAGCUUUCCACAGUAUCAAAGAAAAGCUCAGUCAAGAUGUACUCCUUUUCAUGUUACAGGAAAAUGUUCUAGUAUAUUGGAAGCCAAACUUAUAUAUCAAAGACACCACCUCCAUUUUGCAAUAUUAUGGUGGCCCAGAAGUUCAGUGGUCAGCCACAGCCUUGGCACUGUCAAAGCUAUAUGCAUAUUUUUGUCCUUCCCCCGCCACACCCCACCCCCCCUGGUUAUGAUGUGAUGUAUUUCUUCUCGGAGUAUGGUACAGUCUGUCCAUUACUGACCAUCUGUUCUUUACAGAGAAUUCUCUGGAUGUAACAUCAUCUUGCUCUGUUGCAUAUCAGCUGGGGAAUGUCCUAAGCAAACCACUGCCUUGCUCUUUCCUCUUUCUCCUUGGAUUGUAAAACCUCCACAGAUAUUAAACUUUCGGCUAUGCUCAGCUGAUGGACAGGCUCAAAUUACAAGGGUUUCAUUACCAAAGGUUAUCCAAACAACUGAUUCCUUUAGUUGUGUCUGAGAAUCUAUAUUUCUGAAAGAUGACUGCAUUAAAUUGAUGUUUUUUUU